rnacentral:lncRNA from 1 species
AUUUGUCAUAUAAAAUAAAUAUGAUAUAGAUGAAAUGAACACUGCAGAUACACAGAAUUAGUGGUUUUAUGAUUAAACAUUGCCAAGAUAUAGACAAAGUGAACACUGCAUAUAGACACAAAAUUAGUGGUUUUAUGAUUAAACAUUGCAAGAUAUAGACGAAGUGAACACUGCAUAUAGACACAAAAAUAGUGGUCUUAUGAUUAAACAUUGUGAAGGCCACUGUUGUGGCAUGGCGAGGCACCAGUGAAGCGCCGCUUGCCUCCAUCCCGAGGUGGGCUACACUGAUCCACCCAGCACGCAGAUAGCCGCGCAGAUAUCUAAUCCAGGGUCUUCCCCACAGCACAACUCCACCAUGCUGACCAACUUUGCCUACACCAUGGAUCCGACCAACCACCACCUCAGCAUAGCCAUCCAGAAGAAUAUCCUGCCUCCAUUCCCACUCAGGUCCAUAGUCCUCUUCUUUUCGGGACUGUUACAUGGAAUACAAAUGCCAAUUUAUUUGCUGGUGGUAAUUGCAUUUUCCAUGCAUUUUAAGCGUUCUUCACUCAGGUGCUUGCUAAUUUGUGAAUAAAUGCAUCUAUGUUCACACAGUCUGAUUUUAGAUUACACUGAAAUUGUAAAACAAUGAAUAGCUCAUUAUGUUAUAUUGGAAUAAAAAAUAGAAAGGAAACCGGGGAAUGGGUAAUCAUAUAUUGGUUUGUCUCAAAAGAGGGGAAUUGCUUGGUCGGCAAAUAUAUCUAUCUGCACAUUCUACAUAGUAUAGAUACUACAGAUACGUGUUCGAUGGAAGAUGGUUUCAGGGUCUUAUUAUGACAGCAAAAAAAGUAAACAAACUGAUUAUUUGUAUAUUCAGGGUAGAAUUAAGCUCACAAAAUAACAUUAUGCCAAAUGAUAAGCAUGUAUGAGGAAAACUAAAUGUUCAAUAAAGAUUUAUCUAGGACAUAUGGUGUAGUGAAUUUUCCUGGAAGAACAUAUUUCGCAACAAUUUGCAUAAACCCAAAUGCAGGCCGCAAAAUUUGUUCAUCGAGGGGUUAUCAAGAUUCACAAUAUAGCUAAGAUAAUCUGUGCAUCACUGAUUUAUGAGGAUAAGAAAUAUGUCCGGCCCUAUAGAAACACCAUUCAUCUUAGUAACCUUAAUUAUCAUAGCAGACACAUUUGGUUGAGAGCACAAAAAUUAUAAACCAUUAUCCAGUCAUACUAACACCAAAACCAUGAUGAACUUUAAAGAAGAUCAGUUUUUCCAUUCGGAAGAAAAGGCAUCAAAGAGGAAAAUGGGGAAGAACUCACGUGAGCAAAGUCAACAGAAUAAUGCGUAGAUCCUGCUUAUGCUCAGCGCAAUCAAGGUUACAAAAUUGUUAACAAAAUUCCAAACUGAAGAAACGGCAGCGUUCCAGCGAGAUCCUCUUCCAUGGUAGUCAUGUGCCAACACGUGUUGAACAGCUCUGUUGCACUGCGCUCGGUCACGCUGGUGAACUCCAGGCCAAUUAUUCCAGUGUCACAUCACAUGAUAUAUCCAUGCAAGACUCUUCUGACCGUGGUAAGUGUGAGCUGCAUUCGUAUAGAAGUAUCCAUAUAUACAUGUGCAUAAUCCAGUGCUAGGAAUAUGUCUGCCCUUACAGAAACACCAUUCAUCUUAGCAAGCAUCUCACUCCUAAUUAAAUAAGCUAUACGGCUAGAGCAACCAUCUACUUGCAAUUUCCAAGCCACUCUUCAUAAAUACUACACCCCAUGGUAUAUGGCCAUGUCAAAAAGUGAAAUCAGAUGAAACUCAACAAUCAUAUGGUACAUGUCCAUGUCAAAAAGUGAUACCAGAUAAAACUCACCUACAUAUGAAAAAAUAAGCAUCAAAAUAUAAGAAAAAUGAAGUACCAGUGACAAUGAGAAUAGGGACUUAUCCAUACCACCAUCUUUGUCAAUAAGAACUUUUCUUUCCCUAAACUUCCUGAACCUUUAGCUUGUGUGGCUGCGAUAUUCUUGAAAUGCCAAAUUGUAUGAGAACAAUCACGAUUAUUUAUGUAAAAAGGAGAUAUCUGUAUAUUCUAAUCUGGAAGUGUUAUAUAUGAUAAUAGUGUAACAAAUACGCAUGUACAUGUACACCUAGUAAGUUUACGGUUUACAGGACACACAUCGACCAAAUAUACAGCAAAAGUUCACUUCUGAAUUUAGGCAAGCAACAUAAAGAACUCAUAUUAAGAUACAACCAACAAUCUGUGCACAUACAAGAAACAUAUGCAUGUCAAUUCCAGAUAUUUGAAUGAACCUAAGUAAAAUAUUACAUGACCUUUGAAUUUAUACUAUACAAUGCUUAGGCUGUAGCAUUACCUGUUCCAUUUCUGUCAAAAGAACAAUCUGAACUCGGCCUGCAGCUUUACACCAAAAAUAAGACCAAUAACUUGUAGGCAUCACACAAUGAACUUCGUAGCUACAACAGGAGGUUUGUGACCAAAUUAUGCACUUAAAUGAGCAGAAGCACACACAAAAAUUAAUUUGUGGUCAAUAUUCAACCUGGUAGCAGAUAUAUCAUCAAAAUUCUCAGGUAUAUCAUUACAGUACUUAAUCCCCAUCGACAAUAUAUCAAUUAGAUUUAUAUCUUCGAACCUGCAACAAAUCUAGAAAUUAAAGAACAUUGUUCAAAGAAGAUUUUAUAUAAGACAUGAAGAAUGUAAUAUUCUAACUAUAAAUACUCUCUGGCACACCAAAUAAGAUAGCCUUAUGCAGAACAUAUGAACGUGAUAGUAGUGUUCAAGAGAGAGGGAGAGAUCACUUUGUUCAAACUUUUCAUCAAGAUUCACCCUCUUCUCUUUUUCCUCAGGUCUGCAUAUGUGUGUUUAAAAAACCAUAAAUCAAGGAGGCUGCAUAUUGGCAACCUAGAUUGGGGACAGGUACCAUGGCCAGCACCGUCUGGAACUCCAGCCUCGCUGUUCCUUCCCUCACUGCCAUUCUCCUCAUCCUCCACACCCACCAAGAAGAUCAUGCCGCCCUGCUCGCCUAGAUCCAGAAGCACGGCACGCGGCAGCAGCAGAUAGAAGAUCAGUCGCAUGGGUGAGAAAGAACAGAGAUUGUGCCAAAUCCAAGCCGUCCACGGUAGCAGCACCGGCGCAAGAACGGCAGCGACGCGGGCGCAACAGGCGGCAAGUUCUCAACAAAGAAGAGCACAACC